rnacentral:lncRNA from 1 species
AUGUGGAUAGAACCAGUGGCUGUACAAUUAAAUUUUUCCAAUUUAUUUUCAGGACAGAGAGGUUUGCAGUGUAGGUCUGGCUUUAUACCCUUACUUAAGAAGACAUCUUCUGGGUCCUCAAGGAUUGGAAGGAACCUAGUUAGCCGCAUAGUAAAAUCUGUACUUUGUGGCCACCAGAAGUUUGACAGCAAGUGCAUCUCAUCUUGGCAUUCUUUCCCCAUGAACCUGGUCCCACCUUGGUUCCUGGUACUGCCACCAGACUGGAGUCAUUGAAAGGUAACAAUCAGUUAUAAUGACUCUUUGGAAUCCUCCCUAAGAGGAACAGCUGGGUCUUUUCACAUUUUGUCUUUAUGCCCAAUUAACCUCUAACUACAGCCCUACUGGGUUGUUAUUUAAAAAAAAAUCCUUAGCUAGUGUGCAGAGAUUGAAGGUAUCAGCUCAGAAAUUCCCUCUUUAUGCC